UGCGCCCAGUGGACAAACACACACCUUGUUGGUGGUGGUGUUACAUCAGUCAGGAGCAAAGAAGAUGGCAGCCCUUUGUUCAUCCUAGCUUGAUGCCUGGCUUGGUGGGCAAAGCUGUUUUAUACCCAGGACUCAAAA